rnacentral:tRNA from 1 species
GGCGACGUGGCCGAGUGGUUAGGCAGAGGCCUGCAAAGCCUUGCACACCGGUUCGAUUCCGGUCGUCGCCU